UGGGGAAUAUUGCACAAUGGGCGAAAGCCUGAUGCAGCAACGCCGCGUGAGUGAUGAAGGCCUUCGGGUUGUAAAGCUCUGUCUUUUGGGACGAUAAUGACGGUACCAAAGGAGGAAGCCACGGCUAACUACGUGCCAGCAGCCGCGGUAAUACGUAGGUGGCAAGCGUUGUCCGGAUUUACUGGGCGUAAAGGAUGCGUAGGCGGAUUUUUAAGUGAGAUGUGAAAACCCUAAGCUUAACUUGGGGACUGCAUUUCAUACUGGAAAUCUAGAGUGCGGGAGAGGAGAAUGGAAUUCCUAGUGUAGCGGUGAAAUGCGUAGAGAUUAGGAAGAACACCAGUGGCGAAGGCGAUUCUCUGGACCGUAACUGACGCUGAGGCAUGAAAGCGUGGGUAGCAAACAGGAUUAGAUACCCUGGUAGUCCACGCCGUAAACGAUGAGUACUAGGUGUAGGAGGUAUCGACCCCUUCUGUGCCGCAGUUAACACAAUAAGUACUCCGCCUGGGAAGUACGAUCGCAAGAUUAAAAACUCAAAAUGAAUUGACGGGGGUCAUAGCUGUUUUUCCU
rnacentral:rRNA from 1 species